AUGUCCUCCUACGUCACAAAGAGCCACCUCUUUGGUGCAAAACGAGCUUCGCAUCAAGAGCAACAAGCAAUGAACGAACGCAUCGACAACCUCGCCACCGACUUGCGACUCUCCAAGCAACGUACAAGAGAUUACUUCAAUAACAAGCUCGACGACCACAAACAAGAGAAUGACGCAAGAAUGGAAGAGAUUCGUGCCUUGUUGCUCAACCGCAAUUCUACCACUUCGUCUUACUCAAGACAGAGCCGCUCGAGUCGACACUCCGAUGACACAAUCUCUAGCUCAAGUACUCCGAUAUCAAACACUCUUCGACGAGCCGCGCGCCAAGACCAUCAAGCAAACCGCAAUCCUCUACACGACAAUGACUCUCAAGAGCAAGUUUGCGCGCAAGAACAACAACACCGUCAAAACCAAGCUACUUUUGUGCAAGCACAAGAACGACAAUGCCAACAUCAACAAGAGGAGGAAGAGCGAGUGCGACAACACCAAGAUGCACAACAUGCCGAGGCACAACGCCAAGAACAACAACGGCGACAAGCUCAAGCACUUGAGGCGCAAUGUGCCCUCCGAGAUUCAAGUCGAGUCGUAGCCACGCGCAACCGGCAAGCUCAUGAGCAACAAGAAGCGCUUCACGAUGAAGUUUAA
rnacentral:rRNA from 1 species